rnacentral:tRNA from 6 species
GGCCCUAUCGUCUAACGGCUAGGACAACGGGUUUUCAAUCCGUUAAUCGGGGUUCGAUUCCCCGUAGGGCUACAA